CCCUUAGAUGUUCUGGGCCGCACGCGCGCUACACUGUUUGAUUCAGCGAGUCUUAACCUUGACCGAAAGGUUUGGGUAAUCUUCUAAAGUCAAACGUGAUGGGGAUCGAUCAUUGCAAUUAUUGAUCGUGAACGAGGAAUUCCUAGUAAAUGCAAGUCAUCAGCUUGCGUUGAUUACGUCCCUGUCCUUUGUACACACCGCCCGUCGCUACUACCGAUUGAAUGGUUUAGUGAGAUCUCCGGAUUGGCUCUGUAGGUCCCGCAAGGGAUUUAUUAGUAGCCAAGAAGCUGCUCAAACUUGAUCAUUUAGAGGAAGUAAAAGUCGUAACA
rnacentral:rRNA from 1 species